rnacentral:rRNA from 1 species
GGACCAUCAUGUCGGUCGUGCCUCGGUACGUACUGGUAUUGUUGGUUUCCCCCUUCCUGAUGAGCCGUAAUGCCAUUAAUUUGGUGUUGCGGGGAAUUUGGACUGUUACUUUGAAAAAAUUAGAGUGUUUAAAGCAAGCUAACGCCUGAAUACGUUAGCAUGGAAUAAUAGAAUAGGACGUGCGGUUCUAUUUUGUUGGUUUCUAGAGUCGCCGUA